rnacentral:rRNA from 1 species
UACCAGCACCCCGAGUGGUCGGGACGAUUAUUGGGCCUAAAGCAUCCGUAGCCGGUUCUACAAGUCUUCCGUUAAAUCCACCUGCUUAACAGAUGGGCUGCGGAGGAUACUAUAGAGCUAGGAGGCGGGAGAGGCAAGCGGUACUCAGUGGGUAGGGGUAAAAUCCGUUGAUCCAUUGAAGACCACCAGUGGCGAAGGCGGCUUGCCAGAAUGCGCUCGACGGUGAGGGAUGAAAGCUGGGGGGAGCAAACCGG